CGCUAUUGGUAGAGCUGCCUGCUCGUCAGCGGAUGCCUCGCGCCGCGGGGCGGGGCUGCGGCGCCGGCUCCGGUCACGUCCCGCACGCAGCCGCUGCUCCCUGAGGGGCGUCCGGGCCGCGCGGGGUGCGGGCGGAGAGCGCCGGAAUUAACAGUUCUGCAUCUUAUCUGAGCGUAAAUUACCCAUAACUGUGGCAAAGAAGUGUGUCGGUUGGUGGGAAUCCUUCAGAUGAAGGGCAGGCACCUCCCCAGCUGAGCCAUAGGCCUGGGGCAGGCCAAGCAUCGCCACUAAAGGAUGAACAAAACCCGAGAUAUUUUUGAUCAUCUAUCAUGAUAAGGAGUUGGAGCAGCUAAUCUGGGAUUGUGGGAAAAACUGCCUGAAGAAUGGGCACAGAUCUAAGAGAAUAAAGGUCAAUGUGUCCUGGCUGCUGCCCUCACCUGCCCAAUCCAGCACACAGUCCCAUUGCUACCAUCUGCAGAGACAAAGGGCUUCAGGGCUGUCCAAGGAUUACAUUCAAUGAGGAAUUAAACAAAAAAUGCUGAAGAAUCCCACUCUGUGUCUCCUUUUCCUGCACCUGUGUGUGUGUGUGUGUGUGUGUGUGUGUGUGUACAGCUCUCCAACUGUCCUUAAAAACUUCAUUUUAGAGAUGUAUUUAAUGGAAUACAAACAGCCCAAUCUUACCUCAUCAGCAGUUUUCCUUCAUGACUGAGCAGAUGUGGUACAAAGUCACAGCUACUACUUAAAUUAUCCAGUCAACUGGAAGGAAAAAACCCCCAAACUCUAACAUUGCCAGUGGCACAGCUCUGGUAUCAAGGCAGAUGCUGAAUUUGGAAUCAGAGCCUGACCUUAAGGGCUGGUUAAAUUGUUCUGCAGAGAUGUGCUCCAAAAAUGCUACUAAAAACUUACUAAAAAAGGAAAAAAGAAAAUGAAAGAGCACUUUAAAAGAUGAUGCAGCCAUACUGAGAUGAAAGCAUCUAGGGAGUGGUUAAAAAAUCCAUGCAGGAGCUGUGUGCUGGUAAAAUGGAUCCUGUCAAGCCAGAAAACAAUGUUUGAGGCAUCAGCUGCAGAGGCUCCAGGAUUAACCCCUGGAGCUCCUGGCUAUGACAGGCUGCAGGAACACAGGACUUCUCUGUGCUUCUGUAGUGCCCAAGAAAAGAAGUUUUAAACUAACAUUAAUCCUACCAUUAUCUAUGAUAGCGUUUUCCACCAGAGCCCUACAAGGUGGUAUUUGGUCCACUGAUUUCGUACAGUGUAGAAUGAACUUAUAUUUGAUCCAAAUAAUUUAACCUUUCUCUUUUUUUCCCCAGCAGAACAGUGAUAUGGAAUGCCAGAGCUCUGCUCACCACUCAGACGGUGCCUGCUGCCACCAAGGGACGUGAGGCAGGUGAGAGGUUGCUGUACUAGACACCUGUAUGAGCUAAAGUAAAACUGGAAUCAGUGGCUUGUAACAGCAUUUACUCUGGGGUAACUCAAAGCUUUCACUUUGGAAAUAUCAUUGUCUUAUCAGAUUUCAGGAAAGGAGAGGCACUGUCAAAUUCCAGGAGGAUCCUAAUAAUUUCUAAUUCUGUAUUAAUCUUGAAUCACAGGUGAUAUACAUUGGCCAGCUGAAUAAAGAGAUUUAUGUAUCAUA